ACCUUGCCCAGACUUCGACCAGACAUAAGACCAGACAUGCAUUGAGUAAUGGUACGGAAAAAUCUUCAUAAAAUCGCCAAAAAUAGAAGCCCUCCCGUUUCGUAUUUGUGGACUUUUCUAAUUCUCGUACGGAAAUUGCCGGAGAAUGGAAUAUUCGUAAUAUUGCAUUAAUCUGGUAGCGUGGCGGACCCAUUCGACAAAAAAGGACUUAAAUUGAAGGCAGCAAGACAUACUGCUGGAAACGUCUAUUCGGAUACCAAAUCGAACCUUUAAAGAAGUCUAGGAUCCUGUACCCAAUGCAG
rnacentral:misc_RNA from 1 species